rnacentral:lncRNA from 1 species
CAGCCCCUUUCUUAGCCUUUUUUUUUUUAAUAAGCAGGCAAGAGCUUGGAGACUUCAAAGAAUGUGAAAGCUCUGGUUGACUCAGUUCUUCAGGUUCUGAAACUCACACUUUGAUGUCGAAUUUUUCCUUCUUAGGCAGGAUUGGCGGAAAAAAGAAGUGGAGGAUUUUUGUAUGGCUCUUGGCAAGAGCACUCAUGAAUAACUGCAUUAAAAUAGUGAUGAAAGACCCUCAAUAUUUUUUUCUUAAGCCAUUGCUUAAAUAUAGAAUACUUUGAACAAUAGACAGCUCUCUGAUAAGCUGAAAAUGCAUCUCUGUUGCUAAAGGAAGGGUUUGUUUGUUUCUUUGCUCUUUUUUUAACCUCUUAUUGUACACUGCUGCAUUCACAGCCACACAGAAAUGUUUCUGAAAACCCAGUUAUUUAGUCAUUAGAAAGCUAGAGAAAACAUGAUGUACGGAAGUAGGGCUUGUGAAUGCAUUUGGGGAAAUCAAAAUGACAUGUUAGUGAUUUUCUAACUGGGCAAUUGGAGUCUUUGAGGAAAAGAAAAUCACUUGACUUCUGUGGAACAUUUCUUGUAGGUUUGAAACUUUGUCAUUAAAAGGGAAAGAAAACAAGUGGUUAGGGAUGUACUUCGAGCCUCCUGCAAUUCUCAUUCUAUUUUGAGAGUGUUUACAACAAGGGACCUAAAGGUGUAAAAUGGAUUUGGACUCCACUCU